rnacentral:tRNA from 1 species
GUUAAUUUGGCAGAGCAAGUGCUAUUGAUUUAGAAUCUUUAUAUGUAAGCCUUUUUAUUACAUUUAAUA